GGGAAUCCCAUCAUCCAUCUGUGUCGGCCUCUUUUUUCACCAAGCACAAACUGACACUUAAAAAAGAAUUAGGAAGCAAUGCUGUUCCCCGGGGAGCCGAGGGGAACACAGCAUCUUUCUCUCCCAGCUGCAACAUGCUGGCUCCACGCACGCUCGCACCCAUUUUCCUCCCCAGACCUCUCCAUUCCCAAUCCUUUGAUGGCACCUGCAAAGAAUUGUUUGUUUUCUGUCAAAAGCAACAGCGGCUGCAGGCAACCCCUCAUUAGCAGUCCAGGAGCCGUCCAUCAGCCAACAUGGAGCUGUUCGGUGCCGGCGCCAGCACCAUCUGCCCACUGCAGGGCUGGCUGCCUUCCGAGACUCCGAGGCAGGAGGCUGGGGAGGGGCUGUUGGACCCCCACCAUAAAGAAUACUGGCCCCCCUC